rnacentral:lncRNA from 1 species
AAAACUCAGAACACAGCUCAAACACUCGAACCUCGCAAUUUGCAAAGGUCCAGUGUGCUACAGUUAAAAAGUGUCGGUAUAAUCUAAAAAGAGUGCUGCUAAUUUACCAACACUUAUUUAAGAUUUAGCAACCGCCGGAACUCUACCUCGUUGGCUGCGGUGGUAGAGGAGGAGGAGGAGAGUAAAAGGCGCUUCGUCUAGAAUUUCAGUGGAUUGAGUGAGAGGAGAAGGGAAGAUGGUAAUCAAUUUUUUUUUUUUUUCUUUUAUGUUUGUAAUCGGGCCGAAUGGGUUGGGUGGGGUAGGUUGAGUAGAGUAAUCUUUUAUUUUUGGUUGGAUUAGGCUUUAUAUUUAGGCAUUAGUGGAUUUUUUCUAAAGUUUUGACAUAAAUGAGACACUUACAUAAAAGUGUCCCAAACAUGUGUCCCUAUAACAUAAUUUUAUUGUAGUGAGGGGUCAUCCACAUCUUCUGUU